GAGGGUAUAGCUCAGUGGUAGAGUGCAUGCUUAGCAUGCAAAAGGUUCUGGGUUCAAUCCCCAGUACCUCCA
rnacentral:tRNA from 1 species